AUCAGACUUUUCUCCCCAAAACACCACUGUGCUCCCUAAAAGAAGACACUCUCUCCCCCCACAUACCACUGCGCUCCCCAAACUAAGACGCCUACAGCCCCAAAUACCACUUCUCUACACCACACAUCACCUUUGCUCCACCAAAAUACCACCCUUCUCACGACAAUAAGACAGUUUCCCCACAAAUACCCCUCUUCUUCUCCAAAUACGACACUGUCCCCACCACAAUACCUCUUUUCUCCCUCAAAAGAUAACACUUUCUCCGCAAAGGAUGACCUCUUCUCCCGCAAAAUACCUACUUUCUCCCCCCACAAGUGGAUUUUCUCCCCCAGAUCCUACUUUUCGCCCCACAGUUAAGCAUCAUCUCCCACAAAAUGCCACCUUUCAAACGAAAACAAAACGUUUUCUCUCCAAAAUACUACACUUCUUUCGGAAACACGACAUUUUCUCCCCCCCCCCUCCCAGAAAAAAAAAAAACAAAAACCAAAAAACGGCAACCAAAACAACAAACCAAACACUUCUACCCACCAUUGGACUGGCAGGCAUGUGUUGGGCUUGUCUGCUGGUAGAAGGAACAAGGUUAGGCAUAGUUUCUACAGAGAACAACUGCUUCAAUUUCUUUCUAGAUUUGGUCGUAAGUAUCAGAGGAGCGGCAAGAAAGGGCCCUGCCACUGCCCGUCUGUUACUACGCAGCUGUACGUGACAGAGCCCGCUGUGGCUGGAAGUGUAAAGGAUGGCAGUUCAGAAUCCUCUCUUGCCAGCUUGCCGUGCUGCAGUCUUGAGCUUGUGAAGCGUGCUCCUGAGGGCUUCUUUUUCGUUUGAAAGGUGGCAUUUUGUGGGAGAUGAUGCUUAACUGUGGGGCGAAAAGUAGGAUCUGGGGGAGAAAAUCCACUUGUGGGGGGAGAAAGUAGGUAUUUUGCGGGAGAAGAGGUCAUCCUUUGCGGAGAAAGUGUUAUCUUUUGAGGGAGAAAAGAGGUAUUGUGGUGGGGACAGUGUCGUAUUUGGAGAAGAAGAGGGGUAUUUGUGGGGAAACUGUCUUAUUGUCGUGAGAAGGGUGGUAUUUUGGUGGAGCAAAGGUGAUGUGUGGUGUAGAGAAGUGGUAUUUGGGGCUGUAAGGCGUCUUAGUUUGGGGAGCGCAGUGGUAUGUGGGGGGAGAGAGUGUCUUCUUUUAGGGAGCACAGUGGUGUUUUGGGGAGAAAAGUCUGAUUUGGGGGUGAAGAGUGGUUUUGUGGUCGGGAAAAUGCCUUCUUUUCUUGACGAAAGUGAGAUUUGGGUCGAGAAAGUCUCAUCUAUGGAGGAGAAAAGAGGUCCCGAGGGGAAGAAACGGUUGCAUUUUUGGGAGAAAAGUGGCGUUUUUGAGAGGAAAUAUCCUAGUUUUCAGAAGAGUGUCAUCUUGGUUAUAGAGUAGG
ensembl:lncRNA